rnacentral:rRNA from 1 species
UUUGGUGAUAAUGGCAGAGAGGUCACACCCGUUCCCAUACCGAACACGGAAGUUAAGCUCUCUAGCGCCGAUGGUAGUUGGGACCUUGUCCCUGUGAGAGUAGGACGUCGCCAAGC